CGCGGGGUGGAGCAGUUGGCAGCUCGUCGGGCUCAUAACCCGAAGGUCGGAGGUUCAAAUCCUUCCCCCGCAA
rnacentral:tRNA from 1 species